UACGGAGGGAGCUAGCGUUGUUCGGAAUUACUGGGCGUAAAGCGCACGUAGGCGGCUUUUUAAGUCAGGGGUGAAAUCCCGAGGCUCAACCUCGGAACUGCCUUUGAUACUGGAUGUCUUGAGUGUGAGAGAGGUGAGUGGAACUCCGAGUGUAGAGGUGAAAUUCGUAGAUAUUCGGAAGAACACCAGUGGCGAAGGCGACUCACUGGCUCAUUACUGACGCUGAGGCUCGAAAGCGUGGGGAGCAAACAGG
rnacentral:rRNA from 1 species